UAUGUAACCUGCUAUAUAAGGUUCUUUUUAUGUUUCUCAUUUACUGUCUUGUCCAGAAUGUAAACUCUACGGGAAGAGGCCUGUUUUCUUCACUGAUGAACCACAAGCACCUAGGAAUAGCAUGUGACCCAUGGGAGAAGCCAGCCACCACAUCAUGAGGACACUCAAGCAGCCCUGGAAGAGGUCUAUAUUGGGAGGAACUGAGGCUUCCCCCUAACCAGCAUGAAUCUGCCAUCCAUGUGAAUGUGCCACCGUAGAACUGGAUCAGAUGACUGCAACCUUAUAAAAGACCCUAAGCCAGAAACCCCCAGCUAAGCUACUCCCGAAUUCUUGAAAGAAAUAAUAAAUGUCUGUUGUUACUUUACUCAA